GAUGAACGCUGGCGGCGUGCCUAAUACAUGCAAGUCGAGCGAACGGACGAGAAGCUUGCUUCUCUGAUGUUAGCGGCGGACGGGUGAGUAACACGUGGAUAACCUACCUAUAAGACUGGGAUAACUUCGGGAAACCGGAGCUAAUACCGGAUAAUAUUUUGAACCGCAUGGUUCAAAAGUGAAAGACGGUCUUGCUGUCACUUAUAGAUGGAUCCGCGCUGCAUUAGCUAGUUGGUAAGGUAACGGCUUACCAAGGCAACGAUGCAUAGCCGACCUGAGAGGGUGAUCGGCCACACUGGAACUGAGACACGGUCCAGACUCCUGCGGGAGGCAGCAGUAGGGAAUCUUCCGCAAUGGGCGAAAGCCUGACGGAGCAACGCCGCGUGAGUGAUGAAGGUCUUCGGAUCGUAAAACUCUGUUAUUAGGGAAGAACAUAUGUGUAAGUAACUGUGCACAUCUUGACGGUACCUAAUCAGAAAGCCACGGCUAUCUACGUG
rnacentral:rRNA from 1 species